UACGGGGGGGGCAAGCGUUGUUCGGAAUUACUGGGCGUAAAGGGCGCGUAGGCGGCCUUCUAAGUCGGACGUGAAAUCCCUCGGCUUAACCGAGGAACUGCGUCCGAUACUGAAAGGCUUGAAUCCGGGAGAGGGAUGUGGAAUUCCAGGUGUAGCGGUGAAAUGCGUAGAUAUCUGGAGGAACACCGGUGGCGAAGGCGGCAUCCUGGACCAAUACUGACGCUGAGGAGCGAAAGCCAGGGGAGCAAACGGG
rnacentral:rRNA from 1 species